UCAGCUCGUGUCGUGAGAUGUUCGGUUAAGUCCGCUAACGAGCGCAACCCUCGCUGUGUGUUAUAUGUGUCACACGGGACUGCCGGUCUUAAGCCGGAGGAAGGUGGGGAUGAUGUCAAGUCAGCAUGGCCUUUUAUAUCCUGGGCUACACACACGCUACAAUGGCCAACACAAUAGGUUGCUAAGCCGCGAGGUGGCGCCAAUCCAUAAAGUUGGUCUCAGUUCAGAUUGUAGGCUGCAACCCGCCUGCAUGAAGAUGGAGUUGCUAGUAACCGCAGGUCAGCUAUACUGCGGUGAAUACGUUCCCGGGCUU
rnacentral:rRNA from 1 species